UCCAUCAGUUCAUCUACCUACAAAUAAUCUUCUUCUGAUAAAAUACAAUUAAAGCUAUAUAUGUGCAGAGGGUUACUUGCUGAAGAAGCUGGCUUUUAUUUUUUAAAGACCUUAAAUAGAGCACUUGUUCCUAGAAGAGAACUUAAAACACACCCAGGGUGGCCUGGCUUUUCCCUCGCAGCACCUCAGGGACUGCGGGUGAAGUGAGAAGUCCCACGAAAGCAUUUUAGAUCAACCAUGAACGUCUUUUCUAGAAUAAGCAUGUCCAGGGCAACACUGGACACGUAGCUACACCACGAAGCCAUCUGCUGUUUGUCUGGAACAUGAUGUCACCGGGCGUCUCGAUGGAUGUGUGGGCAUGUCCCAGCACUCCUCUAACGCACAGGUGAAAGUGGGGGCCUGCCCCCAGGGAGCCGUACAGACAGGAGCUCUGUUGAGUGACAGAUCCCCACACAGAGGGUGGGCUGCCCACCUCCCUCGGGGCUGCCAGAUGCCUUCUCUCCAGCGGGGCACUGAAGCACGGCCAUGUGAUCCCUGCAUGGCCACACCAAGUUCCCCCAGCCUCCCUGUGUGCUGGACCUGCCUGGCUGAGCUGGGGAGGAGCCCCUGCAGCUCAGGAAGCCACUGCCGUCCCAGGCAGGGAAGCCAAGGAGCAGGAUUGCUACCUUCACGCCCUGAGGGUCUAGCAUGGUGCCUGCACAAGUCCUGUGGCUCACUGUUGGACUGCAGCUCUACUGAUAAACAGCAAGAUGAUCCUUGGCCCGCCAGGCAGUUUCCAUGACGGGUCUGUCCAGAGGCUCCCGGGGGACCUCAGCUUCCGCGUUCACACAGAGUGGAAACCAGGUGAGUCCUCCACCUCCUCUACUGGGGCCUAGGUCCGCCACAGGCAGCAGCCCACCUGAUGGUGGGAAG
rnacentral:lncRNA from 1 species